rnacentral:rRNA from 1 species
UACGGAGGGUGCAAGCGUUAUCCGGAUUUACUGGGUUUAAAGGGUGCGUAGGCGGACAGGUAAGUCCGUGGUGAAAUCUCUGAGCUUAACUCAGAAGCUGCCAUGGAUACUAUUUGUCUUGAAUACUGUGGAGGUAAGCGGAAUAUGUCAUGUAGCGGUGAAAUGCUUAGAUAUCGGGAGGAACACCAAUGGCGAAGGCAGCUCGCUGGGACGGUACUGACGCUGAGACGCGAAAGCGUGGGGAGCAAACAGG